GGAGCUUUAGUUUAGUUAAAAUACCUGUGUUGCAAGCAGGAGAUGUGGUUUAGCCGUAGGCUCUG
rnacentral:tRNA from 1 species